rnacentral:tRNA from 1 species
GGGACAUAGUUUAAUAGGUAAAACUGCGAUUUUGCAUAUCGUUAUUUCAGGAUCGACUCCUGAUGUCUCCAU